GCGAGUUGCGGCCUACAAACGCCACUUCAAGACGUCAUAGGCGGUAGACAGCUUCAUCUGAUGAAAGAUGGAAGUCACUGAAAAGCCUCAGAACAUCAGUUCUCUCAGCUUCAUCUGCUUCGGUGGAAAGCAAAGGACUGGCCGUGUCGCAGCACUACUCAAUUCUGCACGUAUCCCGAAG